AGUCCCCCGAGGAGGCGGCAGAUGCCGCUCACGAGUCCCCCGAGGAGGCGGGGGUUACCGUUCACGAGUCCCCCAAGGAGGCGGCGGAUGCCCCUCACGAGUCCCCAGAGGAGGCAGGGGUUGCCGUUCACGAGUCCCCCGAGUAGGCGGCGGGUGCCGCUCACAAGUCCCCCGUGGAGGCGGGGGUUGACACACUCACAAGUCCCCCGAGGAGGCGGGGGUGGCCGUUCACAAGUCCCCCGAGAAGGCGGGGGUUGACGCUCACAAGUAUAUAGUUUUGUCUCACACACCACUCUGCCUGCCUGGAUUAUUGUAUGUUAGUUGUAUUACGUAUGUUUCUAGUGCUUGUGUUAUUUCGGCUUGUUCCCUGUGGUUGUUUCUGUUUUGUUUUUGCCGUGUUGGCCUUUUAGUUCUCGUUUAUAAUAAAGUGUCUAUUCCCUGCACUUGGACCCAGAACUUGCUCUUUCCACGGCGCCGUCUCUACUGCGUUGUGACAGCUACAGCUUUUUUUUUUUGCAUACUUCUGUUGGAAGUAAUUAUAUGGUUUACAGUUGAAAACUUUCUUAUAGAGAAGCAUGUCUGUUACAUCCUCACCGUUUACCCUGUGAUUAUCUAUGCUCUAAUUGGAAGCCUAAGCAAGCAUUACGAUGCAGCAGCACCUGGCCGGAACGCUGUCUUUUCAGUGGUGCUCCUCGUGCUGGCCUGUAUUGUGUUAGUGGUGCGUGUGGGGCUGGUGGUUUGGAGACACAGGACUCGGCCGCUCUACCAUGAAGUCAGUCCUGAGGUCCUGAUGUCACCAAACAGUGGCACCGAUACAUAACCAUACAUCAUAAAAACGCAUCACUCAUAAAAAUGUCAAAGAUGACGUGCCCUGAAUGCUAACCCUUCCAGGUGUGAAGUACCUGCAUUAAUGUGUUUCAGCUGGAACAGAUGCUUUCAGAGUCUUCAGUUUUAUGGAAAAUAUGCAGGAAACAGCAUACAAUAUACAAUAUUAAAUUACUAGUGUGCCUACCAUUUUUUAGUUUAAAUUAUUCUCAGAAAGUGUGCAUUUAUAUAAUCAAAAGAACAGUAAAAAACAGUAAUAUUGUGAAACACUAUUACACUUUCAAAUAACAGCUUUUUAUUUUAACAUAUUUUAUAAUGUGAUUGUGUUUAUAUGCAUAUGUUUACAGUAACUUGUGACCAAAAUAUAAAUAUUAUACUUGACAAUAUUAGCAUUUGCUUUUAUUAACAGAUACUUAACAGUAUCACAAGCAAUAUAUCAUUCAAGAGUAUGACAACAAUACUUGUAAAAUGAUGUCUCAAGUGUAAGUACAUACAAAAAAGUUGGGAUUUUGUUUUCUUGUGUCUGUGAUUUAAGCUUUUAAAGCUCAUUUAUGAAUGGUCAAUAAAAUACAUGAAAUGCAUCUGAUGUCAUUGUUAAAGAUUCGUGAGAAACAGCUCUUAGUUUAGUGCACGUGCUCUGGUAACCACCUUGGUGUUGAUCGUAAGCUUUUGAAACCACUGGUCUUUCAAUAGUGAUUACAGAAAUAUUCAGGGAUGCCACACAACAUUUGUGUCUGCUGAAUAUACAUGCUUUAAUCAUGGCUCUUCUUGUGCAUUUACUUCGGUGUGGAUGUGAACUGAAGCAUCUUGUCAUGCAUGUUGUUGUCCUUUGG